rnacentral:tRNA from 1 species
GGGGGUUUUGAGCUCCUUAGUGCAGGUUCGGGUCCUGUCUUUCUA